rnacentral:rRNA from 1 species
AUUGAACGCUGGCGGCACGCCUAACACAUGCAAGUCGAGCGGCAGCGCGAUAUGUAGCAAUACAUAUUGGCGGCGAGCGGCGGACGGGUGAGGAACACGUAGGAACCUACCCUCGAGUGGGGGAUAACCAAGGGAAACUUUGGCUAAUACCGCAUGAACUCGAGAGAGCAAAGCUGCCGCAAGGUGGCGCUCGAGGAGGGGCCGGCGUCCGGUUAGCUAGUUGGUUAGGUAAGAGCUCACCAAGGCGAUGAUCGGUAACUGGUCUGAGAGGACGACCAGUCACACUGGGACUGAGACACGGCCCAGACUCCUACGGGAGGCAGCAGUGGGGAAUAUUGGACAAUGGGGGCAACCCUGAUCCAGCGAUGCCGCGUGAGUGAAGAAGGCCCUCGGGUCGUAAAGCUCUUUAGGUUGGGAAGAAGGGUGAUGGAGGAAAUGCUAUCACUUUGACGGUACCGACAGAAUAAGCACCGGCAAACUCUGUGCCAGCAGCCGCCGCUGUAA